GACGAACGCUGGCGGCGUGCUUAACACAUGCAAGUCGAACGGAAAGGCCCUGCUUUUGUGGGGUGCUCGAGUGGCGAACGGGUGAGUAACACGUGAGUAACCUGCCCUUGACUCUGGGAUAACUUCAGGAAACUGGGGCUAAUACCGGAUAGGAGCUCCUGCUGCAUGGUGGGGGUUGGAAAGUUUCGGCGGUUGGGGAUGGACUCGCGGCUUAUCAGCUUGUUGGUGGGGUAGUGGCUUACCAAGGCUUUGACGGGUAGCCGGCCUGAGAGGGUGACCGGCCACAUUGGGACUGAGAUACGGCCCAGACUCCUACGGGAGGCAGCAGUGGGGUAUAUUGCACAAUGGGCGGAAGCCUGAUGCAGCAACGCCGCGUGCGGGAUGACGGCCUUCGGGUUGUAAACCGCUUUCGCCUGUGACGAAGCGUGAGUGACGGUAAUGGGUAAAGAAGCACCGGCUAACUACGUG
rnacentral:rRNA from 1 species